GUGAGGAAUAUUGGUCAAUGGGCGAGAGCCUGAACCAGCCAAGUCGCGUGAAGGAAGAAGGAUCUAUGGUUCGUAAACUUCUUUUGCAGGGGAAUAAAGUGCAGGACGUGUCCUGUUUUGUAUGUACCCUGAGAAUAAGGAUCGGCUAACUCCGUGCCAGCAGCCGCGGUAAUACGGAGGAUCCGAGCGUUAUCCGGAUUUAUUGGGUUUAAAGGGUGCGUAGGUGGUUUGAUAAGUCAGCGGUGAAAGUUUGCAGCUUAACUGUAAAAAUGCCGUUGAAACUGUCGGACUUGAGUGUAAAUGAGGUAGGCGGAAUGCGUGGUGUAGCGGUGAAAUGCAUAGAUAUCACGCAGAACUCCGAUUGCGAAGGCAGCUUACUAAGCUACAACUGACACUGAAGCACGAAAGCGUGGGGAUCAAACAGGAUUAGAUACCCCAGUAGUCC
rnacentral:rRNA from 1 species